UAUUUUGGUGGCGCGUAGCGGGCAGCCGCAAGGCUGGCCGGCUCCUUUACCCGGUAGUUCCAACCUGUUACGCGUCGCCGCCCAA
rnacentral:antisense_RNA from 1 species